CACAUCUGAUAUCCCAGAAGUCAUUGCAAUAUGUCAGGAGAGCAGGAAAAACUCCACAACUGUAAUACGUUUUAACUUUUCUUAUUUCAGCUUGGUGACGACAGAUUGGGUAAACAAAGCCACGGCUGCCUGGAAUGCCAACGCUAGCAGGAGGGACAGCCGGUGCCUGCUGGAGGAAUGAAGGCAGCGAAGAUACCGUGUUUGUCUUGCCAGAGGUGCGUGGACACACGGAUGGGGGCUAUCAGCACAAUGUCACCCACCGUGUUUAGGGAGUUCCGCUACUUCUCCAGCCCAGGAUGAAAGCAGUUAGCUGAAAGAACGGAUGGAGUUACCAGUCUGCCGGGGCUUAGGCCUCCCCACUGGAAUGCCAAAGUCAUGACCACCCUAGAUUUGUCAGGGUUCUUUCUGUAUAAAAAUGUGUCUUAAGUGGAAGGUUUAGCAAGGUCUGUAGCAAAAUAUCAUCAUGAUUGUAGCCAGCAGCUACUAACUUAGCAGUUAGUAAAUUAAAAUUUGCAUUGCUGAGAAGAGUUGAUGCUUGACUUGGAAUAGUUAUGGGUUAGUUAAUGUUAGCAAGUUUAGAAGAUUAUGCUAGCUUUUCUAACAUUGUUGAAAAUAUUGAUCCAUGGUGCACAAAACAACAUAGCUAAAUUUAAAAUAGCAUGACAAAAACUUGUUGCCCAAAGCAUUACCUAGCAUGCAGGUUAGAAACCCACCCACCAACCCUGCCUCCACCUGUUUGGUUCUGUGGUUCCAUUUCAUGGGUGGGAUCAGUACUACGUAACUUGCUCAUUGCCUGUGGGGAUUGCUACUAAUGAUUAGUAGUAUUGUAUACACAAUCAUGUGAUGGCAGUGAGUUACCCCAGAGGAGCAGAACCUGUAUAUAUUAUGUUGUGC
ensembl:lncRNA